rnacentral:tRNA from 1 species
UCCAGGAUGGCCGAGUGGUUAUGGCGCCAGACUGCUACUCGAAAUCGCAGGUUCGAAUCCUGCUCCUGGAU